rnacentral:rRNA from 1 species
CCUACGAGAGGCUGCAGUGGGGAAUAUUGGGCAAUGGGCGCAAGCCUGACCCAGCAACGCCGCGUGAAUGAAGAAGGCUUUCGGGUUGUAAACUUCUUUUCUGAGGGACGAAGAAAGUGACGGUACCUCAGGAAUAAGCCACGGCUAACUACGUGCCAGCAGCCGCGGUAAUACGUAGGUGGCAAGCGUUUUCCGGAUUUAUUGGGUGUAAAGGGCGUGUAGGCGGGAAAGCAAGUCAGAUGUGAAAACUCAGGGCUCAACCCUGAGCCUGCAUUUGAAACUGUUUUUCUUGAGUGCUGGAGAGGCAAGCAGAAUUCCGGGUGUAGCGGUGAAAUGCGUAGAGAUACGGAGGAACACCAGUGGCGAAGGCGGAUUGCUGGACAGUAACUGACGCUGAGGCGCGAAAGCGUGGGGAGCAAACAGGAUUAGAUACCCUAGUAGUC